rnacentral:rRNA from 1 species
CCUACGGGAGGCAGCAGUGGGGAAUAUUGCACAAUGGGCGAAAGCCUGAUGCAGCGACGCCGCGUGAGGGAUGACGGCCUUCGGGUUGUAAACCUCUUUCAGCAGGGAAGAAGCGCAAGUGACGGUACCUGCAGAAGAAGCACCGGCUAACUACGUGCCAGCAGCCGCGGUAAUACGUAGGGUGCGAGCGUUGUCCGGAAUUAUUGGGCGUAAAGAGCUCGUAGGCGGUCUGUCACGUCGGAUGUGAAAGCCCGGGGCUUAACCCCGGGUCUGCAUUCGAUACGGGCAGACUAGAGUGUGGUAGGGGAGAUCGGAAUUCCUGGUGUAGCGGUGAAAUGCGCAGAUAUCAGGAGGAACACCGGUGGCGAAGGCGGAUCUCUGGGCCAUUACUGACGCUGAGGAGCGAAAGCGUGGGGAGCGAACAGGAUUAGAUACCCUGGUAGUCCACGCCGUAAACGUUGGGAACUAGGUGUUGGCGACAUUCCACGUCGUCGGUGCCGCAGCUAACGCAUUAAGUUCCCCGCCUGGGGAGUACGGCCGCAAGGGCUAAAACUUAAAGAGUAGUAGGCGCGUGAGUAGCGACGAGCACACGGAGGUAGG